AAAAGUUAUGCCGUUAUGUCCUCCGUCAACAAGGGUAAUGAUUUAGAAUCUACCGCCGUUUAUUCCCAAUGAGCUAUUGGCGCUAAAGUGAUUUGCAGUUUGGGAAGAUUGCAAAUUCAAUGAAGAUUUCCUUUUUGGGUUGUUAACAUCGGGCUCUGAAACAGGGUGUUGUUUCGCUGACGGGUGUUUUGUGUUUUUGGACUCUCCGGAGCAGACUUUGGAGUUAUCGUUUAAGUCAAGUAUGACAACAGACUGUAUAUGGCUUAUGCUAGUACGGGUAGUCAACGGUGUUUUGAGUGUAGGGAUGUUGUCCGUAAGCGACAUACUUGCAAGGCAGAGGGAGGGGCGCAGUUGGUCCUCGUAAUGCCUGGGCCCACUGAUGUAGGGAGAGGUGGUCCUCGUAACACCUGAGCCCACUGAUAUAGAGAGAGGUGGUCCUCGUAACGCCUGGGCCCACUGACGUAGAGAGAGGUGGUCCUCGUAACGCCUGGGCCCACUGACGUAGAGAGAGGUGGUCCUCGUAACGCCUGGGCCCACUGAUGUAGGGAGAGGUGGUCCUCCUAAUGCCUGGGCCCACUGACGUAGAGAGAAGUGGUCCUCGUAACGCCUGGGCCCACUGAUGUAGAGAGAGGUGGUCCUCGUAACGCCUGGGCCCACUGACGUAGAGAGAGGUGGUCCUCGUAACGCCUGGGCCCACUGAUGUAGAGAGAGGUGGUCCUCGUAACGACUGGGCCCACUGACGUAGAGAGAGGUGGUCCUCGUAACGCCUGGGCCCACUGAUGUAGGGAGAGGUGGUCCUCGUAACGCCUGGGCCCACUGACGUAGAGAGAGGUGGUCCUCGUAACGCCUGGGCCCACUGACGUAGAGAGAGGUGGUCCUCGUAACGCCUGGGCCCACUGAUGUAGGGAGAGGUGGUCCUCCUAAUGCCUGGGCCCACUGACGUAGAGAGAAGUGGUCCUCGUAACGCCUGGGCCCACUGAUGUAGAGAGAGGUGGUCCUCGUAACGCCUGGGCCCACUGACGUAGAGAGAGGUGGUCCUCGUAACGCCUGGGCCCACUGAUGUAGAGAGAGGUGGUCCUCGUAACGCCUGGGCCCACUGACGUAGGGAGAGGUGGUCCUCGUAACGCCUGGGCCCACUGAUGUAGAGAGAGGUGGUCCUCGUAACGCCUGGGCCCACUGACGUAGAGAGAGGUGGUCCUCGUAACGCCUGGGCCCACUGACGUAGAGAGAGGUGGUCCUCGUAACGCCUGGGCCCACUGAUGUAGGGAGAGGUGGUCCUCGUAACGCCUGGGCCCACUGAUGUAGAGAGAGGUGGUCCUCGUAACGCCUGGGUCCACUGACGUAGAGAGAGGUGGUCCUCGUAACGCCUGGGCCCACUGACGUAGAGAGAGGUGGUCCUCGUAACGCCUGGGCCCACUGACGUAGAGAGAGGUGGUCCUCGUAACGCCUGGGCCCACUGAUGUAGAGAGAGGUGGUCCUCGUAACGCCUGGGCCCACUGAUGUAGGGAGAGGUGGUCCUCGUAAGGCCUGGGCCCACUGACGUAGAGAGAGGUGGUCCUCGUAACGCCUGGGCCCACUGAUGUAGGGAGAGGUGGUCCUCGUAACGCCUGGGCCCACUGAUGUAGGGAGAGGUGGUCCUCGUAACGCCUGGGCCCACUGAUGUAGGGAGAGGUGGUCCUCGUAACGCCUGGGCCCACUGAUGUAGGGAGAGGUGGUCCUCGUAACGCCUGGGCCCACUGACGUAGAGAGAGGUGGUCCUCGUAACGCCUGGGCCCACUGAUGUAGGGAGAGGUGGUCCUCGUAACGCCUGGGCCCACUGAUGUAGAGAGAGGUGGUCCUCCUAAUGCCUGGGCCCACUGAUGUAGGGAGAGGUGGUCCUCGUAACGCCUGGGCCCACUGAUGUAGAGAGAGGUGGUCCUCGUAACGCCUGGGCCCACUGACGUAGAGAGAGGUGGUCCUCGUAACGCCUGGGCCCACUGAUGUAGGGAGAGGUGGGGCCGACAGCGGUAGAGCAUCGACAACAGCAAGUCAAUUUACAAUUUAAAGUAGGUAAAUGGGUUCCUGGAUCAGACUUUUGGGAAAUCUGCCAAAUUGGCAGAUUUUUUUUAUGUUGAUAAGUUUGUGAGGUCAGCUGUGGUGUUACAGAAGACGGUGGGGUUAGACCAGUUGAGUGAGAAGAGAAACGUUUCCUCUUGAGGAAAUUUGUUACUGCUGUUACGGCAGCAAAAGGUAUUGGGAAACGUGAUCAGGUUAAGAGACAAUGAUGACCAAGCCCUUUUAGUGUGUGUUUGUUUCUCUGUCUUAUUUCUCUGUUGUUGCUUCUGUUGUACUAUUUUCUACAUGGCAAUCAAUUGCAAGGAUCCUUAAUCAACGUAGACAAACCGAGCAUGAAAUAUAAUCGCACAGAACAUAGCAAACUCACUUGGAUUAUUUUGGCUUUGAGGCAAGCCUUGCAUUUCAUUUUCAAACUGGGUGACUGAAGCAAAAUGGCCACCUUUUACCGAGAUGUGCUAGCGAUGAAGAUUUUGCAUCACAAAGAGUUUGAAGAAGGAUGUAAGGCAACUUGUAAGGGCCCUUAUGAUGGAGAAGACAAUGGUCGGCUUUGGGCCAGAGGAUGAUGACUUUGGUCCCUCACUGAGGGGAUCUGCUUGGUUGGUCCCUCACUGAGGGGAUCUGCUUGGUUGGUCCCUCACUGAGAGGAUCUGCUUGGUUGGUCCCUCACUGAGGGGAUCUGCUUGGUUGGUCCCUCACUGAGGGGAUCUGCUUGGUUGGUCCCUCACUGAGGGGAUCUGCUUGGUUGGUCCCUCACUGAGGGGAUCUGCUUGGUUGGUCCCUCACUGAGGGGAUCUGCUUGGUUGGUCCCUCACUGAGGGGAUCUGCUUGGUUGGUCCCUCACUGAGGGGAUCUGCUUGGUUGGUCCCUCACUGAGGGGAUCUGCUUGGUUGGUCCCUCACUGAGGGGAUCUGCUAGGUUGGUCCCUCACUGAGGGGAUCUGCAUGGUUGGCCCCUUACUGAGAGGAUCUGCUUGGUUGGCCCCUUACUGAGAGGAUCUGCUUGGUUGGCCCCUUACUGAGAGGAUCUGCUUGGUUGUUUGAGUGUGUGUUGUUUUGUGGGUUCCCAGACCCAAUAAAGGUACUUUAAAACUGUCCCUCUCUGUCUAUCUCACUCUGUCUCUCUCUGUGUCUCUCUCUGUAUCUGUCUGUCUCCUCUCUCUGUCUCUCUCUGUCUCUGACUCUCUGUCUGUGUCUGUGUCUCCGUCUCUCUCUCUUUCUCUGUCUGUCUGUGUGUCUCUCUCUCUCUCUGUCUACCUCUCUCUGUGUCUCUCUCUCUGUGUGUCUGUCUCUCUCUCUCUGUCUCCCUCUCUCUGUGUCUCUCUCUCUGUGUCUCUCUCUCUGUGUGUCUGUCUCCCUCUCUCUGUCUACCUCUCUCUGUGUCUCUCUCUCUGUGUCUCUCUGU